UUUUUUUUUUUUUUUUUGUCUUUUUAGGGCCGCACCCUCAGCAUUUGGAGGUUCCCAGGCUAGGGGUCAAAUAGGAGCUGCAGCUAUUGAACUCUGAUCCUGAUCUGUGCUUCUUCAUCUGAAUUCGGGAGCUUCUAAUGGCAGAAUGGGGUCCUUGUGCUUUUGCAGCAUUUCUGAAAGCCAGGGAACCGUCCUGUAUUUAAGUGGGAAGAGGUUGUCAAGCUAACAGAGGAGUCUCUGUUCUGGCUGGGAUCACCAACUCUCCAGGUCACAGCUGGUCACAGUAGACAGCUGUCUUGGGCAAUUGGGAAAUAAAUGAAUUUAAUCAGUGCUCUCUUUUUAAAAAUAGGACCAGGAUGAGGGUGGCAAUUUUAAAAAUUGGAAGCCACUUGGUCUAGCUUCAUUCCUCUCUUCACCUCAAUGCCAUUUUAUGGGAAGAGACGUUGAGGACUAUUUUGGAGCCUAAGUACCGUAAUCUCCAAAGUAGCCUGCAGUUUGAUGAGCCUGGGGGUCAGGGAUUAUCAUUUUUGUCUUAAAAUGGAAAGGAACUAACAUUUAUCAGGGGUCUUUUAUGUGUCAAGUGCUUUACAGGUAAUCUCAUUAAUUAUCCCAAUAGGAGUUCCCGUCAUGGCGCAGUGGAAAUGAAUCCAACUAGGAACCAUGAGGUUGCGGGUUCCAUCCCUGGCCUUGCUCAUGGGUUAACGAUCCGGCGUUGCCGUGAGCUGUGGUGUAGGUUGCAGACGUGGCUCGGAUCCCGCGUUGCUGUGGCUCUGGCGUAGGCCGGUGCCUACAGCUCUGAUUUGACCCCUAGCCUGGGAACCUCCAUAUGCCGCAGGAGCGGCCCAAGAAAUAGCAACAACAACAAAAGACAAAAAAAAAAAAAAAUUAUUACAAUACUCCUUUGGAGUAUGGUACCAUUUUACAGAUGAGAAAAAUAAGGCUCGAGUUAAGUGCUUUACCCCAAGUCUUACUCAUCUCCUCCCUCGACUUAGCUCACUUUAUUUCUUCUGCCUACAGAGGUAAUACUCCACUGGGGGCGAUACUGCCUCUCAGGGAUGUUUGGCAAUGGCUAGAGUCAUUUGGGGUGUCACUCCUGAGGGUGGGGGUCCAUCUCGUGGGGAGGGCCCAGGGAUGCUGCUAAACACCCUCCACUGGGCAGGACAAGCUCCCACGACAAGGAAUUAUCUGGCCCCACAUUGGAAGAGAACUGACUUUGAGAAACUCUGGUCUAGAGAACUCUGUGUCCUUCCUCCUGGGUCACUCCAGGAGGCCCUCCCUUCGUCCCCACAUGGGAGAAGUGGUCCCUCCUUCUAGCCCCUGCUGCCUGCUGCCACCUCUCCUAAUGGAUGCUGAUCAUGCUGCCUCGAACCAGAGCUCUUUGGGUAAAUGGCAUUGGACAGAUAAUCAAUAAAUGCUUGUUGGCUUGACACACAAGGUAGUGCCUGUCUUUCUCUUAAGGUCCUGCUUCAAUUCGGUUGGUAAUUCCUAACAUUCCAGGACUGGAAUGAAAAACCCCACGGCUUCUUUGUCCUCGCCAGAGAAACAGUGGGCUUCCUGUCACUCCAAGUGUGCAAGGUGAGACUGCAUGAACACUUAGUGGUGUGCAUGUAGUGCAAUGCAGAGGUUAAAAACACAGGACUUGUGUCUCAGCAAGGUCCCGAUUUCAGUCAUAGCCCUGCAACUCACUGUGCAAUCCUGGACCUGGUACUGAACCUCAGUCUCCGUUUUCUCGUUUAUGAACUGGAGAUAAUAAUAAUAACCACCUUAGAGGUUUGUUGUGAGGUUCAAACCAGACAAUCCCGCCACAGUGCUUUGCACAGUGCCUGGCAGGCAUCUGAGAAGGUUGGCUAUUACUAUGACGAGGAGAUGCAAGCAGCAAUGAGGUUUCCACUAAAUAACACCAACGUUCCUUCUAACUCUGAAAUUCCCGGAACAUGCUAGAUUCUUUCACACCUCUGUGUCUUUGUUUGCCUUUUUAUCUUUUUAAGCCAACACCCAUGAUAGAUGGAAGUUUCCAGGCUAGGGGUCGAAUCGGAGCUGUAGCUGCCAGCCUACGCCACAGCCACAGCCACAGCAACGUGGGAUCCAAACUGCGUCUGCAACCUACACCACAGCUCACAGCAUUGCCAGAUCCUUGACCCAACUGAGCAAGGCCAGGGGAUCGAACCCGCAUCCUCAUGGAUACUAGUUGGGUUCGUUAGCACUGAACCACGACAGGAACUCCCACACCUCUGUGUCUUUGAACAAGCUGCUCUUUGGGCCCGAAAUGUCGUCUGUCCACACAAGUCUUCCAAGCACCCUCUUCAUUCUUCAAGUCUUAGUUCAAACUGCCACCUUGUCUCUUUUUUUUUUUUUUUUUUUGGCCACCCUGUGACAUAUGGAGUUCUAAGGCUGGGGAUCAGAUCCCAGCAGCAGUUGAGACCUAAGCCACAGCCAUAGCAACACUGGAUCCUUUAACCCACAGUGCCCGACCCGGGGAAAAAACCUUCCACCUGUCGCUGCAGAGAUGCUGCCAAUCCCAUUGCACCACAGUGGGAACUCCGUGCCACCUUUUCUAAGAAGUCUCCUCAAAUUGCCUUCUUUUCUUCUUCCAGCCUGAUUCUCCACCGCAUCCUUCGAUCAUACUGCCUUUUAUAGCAUCUAUUUUGUCUUUGGGGUUUUUUUUUGGCCACGCCCACAGCAUAUGGAAAUUCCUGGGCCAGGGACCGAACCCAUGCCAUGGAGGCAACUCAAACCAGUGCAGUGACAAUGCCGGAUUCUUAACCCACUGUGCCACAAGGGAACUCAUAGAUAUAGACAUAUAGAUAUAUACAGUAUUACAGUUUGUUUUUGUUUUUUGCUUUUCGGGGCUGCACCCGUGGCAUGUGGAAGUUCCCAGGCUAAGGGUCGAAUAGGGGUUGUAGUUGCCAGCCUACACCACAGCCACAGCAACACGGGAUCUGAGCCAUGUCUUCCAACCUACACUGGAGCUCACAGCAAUGCCAGAUCCUUAACCCACUGAGUGAGGCCAGGAAUUGGACCCGCAUCCUCAUGGACACUAGCAGGGUUCUUUACCACUGAGCCACAAUGGGAACUCCAUGUAAUACAGUUUCUUGUAUUAAAUUUUCCCUCUAUCUGAGGGCUCCGUCCAAGGACACGGAUUGGAUCAGAUCUGUCUUUGCACCCCAGCUCCAGAACAGGCCUGUGGAAGCAGCAAUAAACACCUAUGGAACGAAUCCAUAUGUCUGAUUGUAGGAGGUCCUCCAGCAGGCUUCUCCCGUAAAUAUUUAUCAAGUAUCUACCAUGUCCCAGGCACCAUGGACUCUUCACCAACUAACAGAUCAAAUCGGCUUUUUUCCCC
rnacentral:lncRNA from 1 species